GCCCGCAUAGCUCAAUUGGUAGAGCAGCACCCUCUUAAGGUGACGGUUUCAGGUUCGAUUCCUGAUGCGGGUACCA
rnacentral:tRNA from 1 species